rnacentral:lncRNA from 1 species
GUUAAAUUUUAGCAAAUGAAUAUGAGGUGACAGCCAUGCAAUCACAUGGCAUCAUUUAUUAGCACUAGUUUGUCUUAAAACUUGAACACAGAGAGUCAGGGCCAGCCAAAUGGAAAUUGUCUGCUCAUAGGAGAAGCCCCGGGGCCAUACUCUGAAAGAGGUAGCUUGGCGACAGACAAAUUUUCUAAGAGAGACAGUAUGGGGAGAAGAAAAGGCAAAGGUCCAAGACUCAAAAAAUGAAUGAAUGUUAAAACAUCAGAAGAGCAAGAUAAACGAGUUAAGAAGAUGGCACAGGAGCCGCAGAGAGGUGGAAGAUGGCUUGGAAGAGUGAAAACAGUUUUGCUGAGGACAGACACUGAAUGGAUUUCAGAAAGUCAUAGGGCCUGGGUGGAAGCCCCAACACAACAGCAGAGUGGAAUCAUGGAUUGGCUAUUCUAUAAUCCAUUCGCCGUGACUGAGGGUGAGAAGUGGAAUUCUAUUUGAGGCUAUAUUUGAGAGCCAUCUUUGAAAAUGAAGAAGUAGUUUGGGCUCUGGGUAUCUUUUCUUUCCUUUUUUUCCCCUUUUUUUCUGAUACAGCCUUCAGCUGAAUGAAAUGUGGGCUUUGAGAUCACCUGUGAUAGCAUUCUCUA